UCCGCGGCGCCCGGCUCACUCCAGCCCCUUGGCUGGUGGGACGGGUCCGAAAUGGCCGCGCCCGGCGCUGGGGCGACUCGGCUGCUCCUGCUCUUGCUGAUGGCGGCAGCAGCCCCCAGCCGGGCGCGGGGUAGUGGUUGCCGGUCCGGGGCCGCUGUGCGGGGGGCGGGGGCGGAAAGUCGAGAGGGUGAGGGCUGCGGCGCCGUGGGGCUGCUGCUGGAGCACUCAUUUGAGAUCGGUGAUAGUGCCCACUUCCGGAAGCGGGGCUCGCUGCUCUGGAACCAGCAAGAUGGCACCUUGUCUUUGUCGCAGCGGCAGCUCAGUGAGGAGGAGCGGGGCCAGCUCCGGGAUGUGGCGGCGCUGAACGGCCUGUACCGUGUCCGGAUUCCACGGCGGCCUGGGGCCCCUGACGGCCCAGAAGCCGGUGGCUACGUCUCCUCCUUUGUCCCCGCGUGCUCCCUGGUAGAGUCGCACCUCUCGGACCAGCUGACCCUGCACGUGGACGUGGCCGGCAACGUGGUGGGGGUGUCGGUGGUGACAUACCCUGGGGGCUGCCGGGGCCAUGAGGUGGAGGACGUGGACCUGGAGCUGUUCAACACCUCAGUGCAGCUGCAGCCGCCGGUCCCGGCGCCAGGGCCCGAGACAGCAGCCUUCAUCGAGCGCUUGGAGAUGGAGCAGGCCCAGAAGGCCAAGAACCCCCAGGAGCAGAAGUCCUUUUUCGCGAAAUAUUGGAUGUACAUCAUUCCCGUGGUCCUGUUCCUCAUGAUGUCGGGAGCACCGGACGCCGGGGGCCAGGGCGGGGGCGGCGGCGGCGGCGGAGGCGGUGGCCGGUGAGGGGCCCAGGGUCCGUGAGUGCCCCGUCCUCUUUCGCUCAGCGGACGCCCUUCCUGCCCAGCGUGCUCGUGUCCUUGGUCAUCACGGAAGGAUUUGCCGGCCCCUCCUGUCUCCCCGUCGCAUGAGGGUAAACGUUUUGGAAAGUUACAACUUGCAGCAACCCAGUGCAACUGUUGACUUGGCUAAGAGGCGGUCAGGAUGCACCGGCACUGCUGAAUUCCCCGGUCACUGUGUGUGCUGUUCAGAAACACCAAACAGUGGCCGCCGUUGGCAUGGUAACAGCUGCGUCAGGCUCCGCGGUGUCUGUAUAGCAGUUUAUUAAACUGUCCCCCAAACGUUCAACGUUCAGCUUGCCUCCUGCUUUAUGUGGUUAUAAAUAGCGCAACAUCGCGGGUCUGUCGCUGA